UCUCAAAGAUUAAGCCAUGCAUGUCUAAGUAUAAGCAAUUAUACAGCGAAACUGCGAAUGGCUCAUUAUAUAAGUUAUCGUUUAUUUGAUAGUACCUUACUACUUGGAUAACCGUGGUAAUUCUAGAGCUAAUACAUGCUAAAAAUCCCGACUUCGGAAGGGAUGUAUUUAUUAGAUUAAAAACCAAUGCCCUCUGGGCUCCUUGGUGAUUCAUGAUAACUUCUCGAAUCGCAUGGCCUUGCGCCGGCGAUGGUUCAUUCAAAUUUCUUCCCUAUCAACUUUCGAUGUUUGGGUAGUGGCCAAACAUGGUUGCAACGGGUAACGGAGGGUUAGGGCUCGACCCCGGAGAAGGAGCCUGAGAAACGGCUACUACAUCCAAGGAAGGCAGCAGGCGCGCAAAUUACCCAAUCCCGAUUCGGGGAGGUAGUGACAAUAAAUACUGAUACAGGGCUCUUUUGGGUCUUGUAAUUGGAAUGAGUACAAUUUAAAUCCCUUAACGAGGAACAAUUGGAGGGCAAGUCUGGUGCCAGCAGCCGCGGUAAUUCCAGCUCCAAUAGCGUAUAUUAAAGUUGUUGUGGUUAAAAAGCUCGUAGUUGAACCUUGGGCCUGGCUGGCCGGUCCGCCUCACCGCGUGUACUGGUCCGGCCGGGUCUUUCCCUCUGUGGAACCCCAUGCCCUUCACUGGGUGUGGCGGGGAAACAGGACUUUUACUUUGAAAAAAUUAGAGUGCUCCAGGCAGGCCUAUGCUCGAAUACAUUAGCAUGGAAUAAUGAAAUAGGACGUGCGGUUCUAUUUUGUUGGUUUCUAGGACCGCCGUAAUGAUUAAUAGGGACAGUCGGGGGCAUCAGUAUUCAAUUGUCAGAGGUGAAAUUCUUGGAUUUAUUGAAGACUAACUACUGCGAAAGCAUUUGCCAAGGAUGUUUUCAUUAAUCAGGAACGAAAGUUAGGGGAUCGAAGACGAUCAGAUACCGUCGUAGUCUUAACCAUAAACUAUGCCGACUAGGGAUCGGACGAUGUUAUUUAUUGACUCGUUCGGCACCUUACGAGAAAUCAAAGUGCUUGGGCUCCAGGGGGAGUAUGGUCGCAAGGCUGAAACUUAAAG
rnacentral:rRNA from 1 species